GACGAACGCUGGCGGCGUGCUUAACACAUGCAAGUCGAACGGAAAGACCCUGCUUUUGUUGCGUGCUCGAUUGGCGAACGCGUGAGUAACACAUGAGUAACCUCCCCUUAUCUUUGUGAUAACUUCACGAAACUCCGGCUAUUACCGGAUAGAAGCUCCUGCUGCAUGGUGGGCAUUGGAAAGUUUCGGCGGUUCGGGAUGGAAUAGCUGCUUAUCAGCUUGAUUGUGGGGUAGUGGCUUACCAAGGUUUUGACGGGUAGGCGGCCUGGGAGGGUGACCGGCCACAUUGGGACUGAGAUACGGAGCAGACUCGUACGGGAGGCAGCAGUCGGGAGUAUUACACAACAGGCGGAAGCCUGAUGUAGCAACGCCGCGUGCGUGAUGACGGCCUUCGGGUUGUAAACCGCUUUCGACUGAGACGAAGCGUGAGUGACGGUAAUGGGUAAAGAAGCACCGGCUAACUACGUG
rnacentral:rRNA from 1 species